GAUGAACGCUGGCGGCGUGCCUAAUACAUGCAAGUCGAGCGAACAGACGAGGAGCUUGCUCCUUUGACGUUAGCGGCGGAUGGGUGAGUAACACGUAGGUAACCUACCUAUAAGACUGGGAUAACUUCGGGAAACCGGCGCUAAUACCGGAUAAUAUUUCGAACCGCAUGGUUCGAUAGUGAAAGAUGGCUUUGCUAUCACUUAUAGAUGGACCUGCGCCGUAUUAGCUAGUUGGUAAGGUAACGGCUUACCAAGGCAACGAUACGUAGCCGACCUGAGAGGGUGAUCGGCCACACUGGAACUGAGACACGGUCCAGACUCCUACGGGAGGCAGCAGUAGGGAAUCUUCCGCAAUGGGCGAAAGCCUGACGGAGCAACGCCGCGUGAGUGAUGAAGGUCUUCGGAUCGUAAAACUCUGUUAUUAGGGAAGAACAAACGUGUAAGUAACUGUGCACGUCUUGACGGUACCUAAUCAGAAAGCCACGGCUAACUACGUG
rnacentral:rRNA from 1 species